GCCUUUCUCUCGUGUUAUGCGGCUGCCUUAUACGCUUCUUAUGCCUUCCACCACCACCACCGCCACCCUCGUUCCGAGGCCUAUGCGGCUGCAUAGUAAAAAUUCUUUGUUAAACGGCUGCCUUAUUGCAAGAAGAGAGAGAGAAAAGAAAAAACGGGAUCAACCACUGAACAUGAAGGAACUUGUAGGAAAUAAAAAUGACUUUUAACGAAUAAUGGAUUAUUAUGGGGCUGGCAGUAAAAAUAAGAGAGAAUAUUUUAAAUCGUAUAAAAAACAAUGAAUUUGAAAAGUUGUUUCUAUAACAACGUAUUUACAAUUUUAUUUCCCACGACAGUGAAAUAUGAUAGAUCAAAAAAAAAAAAAAAAAAGAAACAA